rnacentral:rRNA from 3 species
AUUUGACCUCAAAUCAGGUAGGA